GGGGGUAAUGCCUCAUAGCGUAUAUUAAGUUGUUGUGGUUAAAAAGCUCGUAGUUGGAUCUCGGCGGACAGAAGUCGGUCCGAAUGCUUUCGGUACUGGCUUGUUUGUCCGUGUGUUUUGCCAGAGGCAGGCGGGUGCUCUUCGCCGAGUGUCCGUUUGUGCUGGCAGGUUUACUUUGAAAAAAUUAGAGUGCUCAAAGCAAGCUCUCACGCUUGGAUAUUCGUGCAUGGAAUAAUAGAAUAGGAUGUCGUUUCUAUUUUGUUGGUUUUCGGAAAUCGACAUAAUGAUUAAUAGGGACAGUCGGGGGCAUUUGUAUUCAAACGACAGAGGUGAAAUUCUUGGACCGUUUGAAGACAAACUACUGCGAAAGCAUUUGCCAAGAAUGUUUUCAUUAAUCAAGAACGAAAGUUAGAGGUUCGAAGGCGAUUAGAUACCGCCCUAGUUCUAACCAUAAACGAUGCCAGCUAGCGAUCUGCAGGCGUUUUACUUUACGACCUUGCAGGGAGCUUCCGGGAAACCAAAGCUUGUGGGUUCCAGGGGAAGUAUGGUUGCAAAGCUGAAACAUAACGGAAUUGACGGAAGGACACCACCAAGAGUGGAGCCUGCGGGUUAAUUUGAUUCAACAAGGGAAAUAAAACCACGCCUGGACACGAUAAGGAUUGAGGACUCAAAGAUCUUUCUUUCUCAAAGUCCGGCGGGAAGGGCAAAAAAAAAUUUCGGGAGGAAAUAUAUGGGCCAGUUUAAUAGUAAGAAAACGGGGUUUCAUAACCCUAAAAACCCUAGUUUUCCCGAAAAAAAAAAAAUUUUUGGGAAAUGUUUCUCAAUGUUCGCAAAAACGCAAAAAAUUCGCUCUGCUUAAAAAAAAGGCCCACAUGGCCAAAAAAAGUUUUUUUUUUCACCUCCAAAAAAAAACAAACUGUCACCUUUUCAGGAAAAAUAAAUGAAAUCCCUAUAACCAAUUUCAAAAGACACUCAAACUACGAAUUCGAAAACCUUGUGCUGGAAAAAAGAAAAAGUUUAAGAGUUCGAUUUUGGCGGAACCUUCGUUUAAACAAUUUAUCCUAAGAUAAUCGGCGUCUCAAAUAAAACAUAAAAAAACCGCUUUGUAUUUUUUCAACAAUUGUUCUUCAGAGGUACCGAAUCAGACUAACUUUCCU
rnacentral:rRNA from 1 species